UACGUAGGGUGCAAGCGUUAAUCGGAAUUACUGGGCGUAAAGCGUGCGCAGGCGGCUAUGCAAGACAGAUGUGAAAUCCCCGGGCUCAACCUGGGAACUGCAUUUGUGACUGCAUAGCUAGAGUACGGUAGAGGGGGAUGGAAUUCCGCGUGUAGCAGUGAAAUGCGUAGAUAUGCGGAGGAACACCGAUGGCGAAGGCAAUCCCCUGGACCUGCACUGACGCUCAUGCACGAAAGCGUGGGGAGCAAACAGG
rnacentral:rRNA from 1 species